UAUUGGACAAUGGUCGAAAGCCUGAUCCAGCCAUGCCGCGUGUGUGCAGAAGGUCUUCGGCUUGUAAAGCACUUUAAGUUGGGAGGAAGGGCAGUAAGUUAAUACCUUGCUGUUUUGACGUUACCGACAGAAUAAGCACCGGCUAACGUCGUGCAAGCAUCCUCGGUAAUACGAAGGGUGCAAGCGUUAAUCGGAAUUUCUGGGACUAAAGCGCGCGUAGGUGGUUUGUUAAGUUGGAAGUGAAAGCCCCGGGCUCAACCUGGGAACUGCUUUCAAAACUGACGAGCUAAAGUACGGUAGAGGGUAGUGGAAUUUCCUGUGUAGCGGUGAAAUGCGUAGAUAUAGGAAGGAACAUCAGUGGCGAAGGCGACUACCUGGACUGAUACUGACACUGAGGUGCGAAAGCGUGGGGAGCAAACAGG
rnacentral:rRNA from 1 species